GAAGCCCCAGUAAACGGCGGCCGUAACUAUAACGGUCCUAAGGUAGCGAAAUUCCUUGUCGGGUAAGUUCCGACCUGCACGAAUGGCGUAACGAUCUCCCCGCUGUCUCUGAUGUGGACUCAGCGAAAUUGAACUGUGUGUCAAGAUGCACACUUCCCGCGGUUAGACGGAAAGACCCCAUGAACCUUUACUAUAGCUUCGCACUGGCAUCAGGAUUGUGAUGUGCAGGAUAGGUGGUAGGCAUCGAAGCGGGGACGCCAGUUCCCGUGGAGCCAACCUUGAGAUACCACCCUUCGCCAUCUUGAUGUCUAACCGCGGCCCGUUAUCCGGGUCCGGGACCCUGCGUGGUGGGUAGUUUGACUGGGGCGGUCGCCUCCCAAACAGUAACGGAGGCGCGCGAUGGUGGGCUCAGACCGGUCGGAAAUCGGUCGUCGAGUGCAAUGGCAGAAGCCCGCCUGACUGCAAGACUGACAAGUCGAGCAGAGACGAAAGUCGGCCAUAGUGAUCCGGUGGUCCCGAGUGGAAGGGCCAUCGCUCAACGGAUAAAAGGUACUCUGGGGAUAACAGGCUGAUGAUGCCCAAGAGUCCAUAUCGACGGCAUCGUUUGGCACCUCGAUGUCGGCUCAUCUCAUCCUGGGGCUGGAGCAGGUCCCAAGGGUAUGGCUGUUCGCCAUUUAAAGAGGUACGUGAGCUGGGUUUAGAACGUCGUGAGACAGUUCGGUCCCUAUCUGCCGUGGGUGUAGGAGACUUGAGAAGAGUUGCCCCUAGUACGAGAGGACCGGGGUGAACGAUCCACUGGUGGACCAGUUGUCGUGCCAACGGCAGUGCUGGGUAGCUAUGAUCGGACAGGAUAACCGCUGAAGGCAUCUAAGCGGGAAGCCCCCUUCAAAACAAGGUCUCCCUUGAGGGCCGUGGAAGACCACCACGUCGAUAGGCCAGAGGUGUAAGCGCAGCAAUGCGUUCAGCUGACUGGUACUAAUUGCCCGAUAGGCUUGAUCUG
rnacentral:rRNA from 1 species